rnacentral:tRNA from 5 species
GCGGACGUGGCGAAACUGGUAGACGCAAGGGACUUAAAAUCCCUCGACUUCGGUCAUACGGGUUCGAGUCCCGUCGUCCGCACCA